rnacentral:rRNA from 1 species
GACAGAGGGGGCAAGCGUUGCUCGGAAUUACUGGGCGUAAAGGGCGCGUAGGCGGGAUGGCAAGUCGGUCGUGAAAUCCUUCGGCCCAACCGAAGAACGUCGAACGAUACUGCUGUUCUAGAGGAUUGCAGAGGAGACUGGAAUUCCCGGUGUAGCGGUGAAAUGUGUAGAUAUCAGGAGGAAUACCGAUGGCGAAGGCAGGUCUCUGGGCUGACACUGACGCUCAUGCACGAAAGCGUGGGGAGCAAACAGG